CUUUCCCAGCUGCUGGUGUUUCAGCUGAGGUAGGUUUCCUGGUUUGCCCUCAUUUCUCAUCUCUGCAGCCUCCUCCUGACUUUUAGAAAUUAUUGCUGUAUAAGAGCUGAGCAUCUUGUGUGGCAUUCAAGAGGAGACGAGUUAGUUUCAAGCAGCAGAGCUUUGCUGAGCUGACCUGGCUCUUCUAAAUCAGACUACGCCAUGAAGGGAGCAAUCAGCUCCAGCAAAGGGAAGGACAGCAAGCAGAUUAGAGCUGUGGAAGACUCAAAGAGGAAUCAGACGGGAUGAAUCUACAGACACAACAGCUAAGAGAGCCUUGGCUGCCAGACCUAGACUCUUCAAUCAACAGAGACAAGUGACACCCCAAUCAUCCAGCAGCAAGGAAGAAGCUUGUGUUCUGGACAAUUCACCCAUUAGAGUCUGUUUGCUGAGCCCAUUGAGAGGACACAUUUUCUGGUUGUUAUUUUGCAGGUACAGAUUUCAAUUAGCACGAAGAAGCUCUCAUUCUCACAUAAAUGUUCCCAGCUCCAGAUUGGUAUAUUUAACCAGGACUUUCCAGCUCCUAGGUGUAUAAACACCAAAAUUUCAUUGCUAUUUUUCCCCCAUUGACAUGAAAGGCAAACAUAAACAUGCUCAAGAGCUAGCCACGUUGACUGAAAUAUUUCUAAAGGGUCUUUUACACCUAAAGCACCCUCCACUUUUGUGUGGUUAAAUGCACAAUGUGUGAGAGACAUGAAGCAAAGAAAUUUUGUAAUUACAAAGAUAAUUUCUCAGGGCUUGUUAAUUAAUUUAUUUUAAUUUUUCCUCUUAUGCCAAUAAAGUCUUGCUUAACUAA